rnacentral:rRNA from 1 species
GGGCCCGCACAAGCGGUGGAGCAUGUGGUUUAAUUCGAUGAUACGCGAGGAACCUUACCAGGGCUUAAAUGUAGUGGGACAGGUCUAGAGAUAGACCCUUCUUCGGACUCAUUACAAGGUGCUGCAUGGUUGUCGUCAGCUCGUGCCGUGAGGUGUCAGGUUAAGUCCUAUAACGAGCGCAACCCCUAUCGUUAGUUGCCAGCGGGUAAUGCCGGGAACUCUAGCGAAACUGCCGGUGCAAACCGUGAGGAAGGUGGGGAUGACGUCAAAUCAUCACGGCCCUUACGUCCUGGGCUACACACGUGCUACAAUGGUCGGUACAGAGAGCAGCCACUACGCGAGUAGGAGCGAAUCUUCAAAGCCGGUCUCAGUUCGGAUCGCAGUCUGCAACUCGACUGCGUGAAGCUGGAAUC